GGGUAGGGCGGGGCGGGCGGUGCCGAGGGGAUCCCGGGGCGGCGGAGCGUCCGUGACUCCGCUCCGCGCGGCGACAUGGACCGGAUGGCCAGUUCCAUGAAGCAGGUACCCAACCCCCUGCCCAAAGUGCUUAGUCGGCGCGGGGUCAGCGCGGGGAUGGAGGCGGCCGAGCGGGAGAGCUUCGAGCGGACUCAGACUGUCAGCAUCAAUAAGGCCAUUAAUACGCAGGAAGUGGCUGUAAAGGAAAAACACGCCAGAACAUGCAUUCUGGGCACCCACCAUGAGAAAGGGGCACAGACCUUCUGGUCCGUUGUCAACCGACUGCCCCUCUCUAGCAAUGCUGUGCUCUGCUGGAAGUUCUGCCAUGUGUUCCACAAACUCCUCCGAGAUGGACACCCAAACGUGCUGAAGGACUCUCUGCGAUUCAAGAAUGAACUGAGUGACAUGAGCAGAAUGUGGGGCCACCUGAGUGAGGGAUAUGGACAGCUGUGUAGCAUCUACCUCAAGCUUCUGAGGACAAAGAUGGAAUACCACACCAAAAAUCCCAGGUUCCCAAGCAACCUCCAGAUGAGUGACCGGCAGCUAGAUGAUGCUGGAGAGAGUGAUGUUAACAACUUUUUCCAGUUAACAGUGGAGAUGUUCGACUACCUAGAGUGUGAACUUAACCUCUUCCAAACUGUGUUCAACUCCCUGGACAUGUCCCGCUCCGUGUCAGUGACAACAGCCGGGCAGUGCCGCCUUGCCCCGUUGAUCCAGGUCAUACUGGACUGCAGCCACCUCUAUGAUUACACUGUCAAGCUUCUCUUCAAACUCCACUCCUGUCUCCCAGCCGACACCCUGCAAGGCCAUAGGGACCGCUUCAUGGAGCAGUUCACAAAGCUGAAGGAUCUGUUCUACCGCUCCAGCAACCUACAGUACUUCAAGCGGCUAAUUCAGAUCCCUCAGCUGCCUGAGAACCCACCCAACUUCCUGCGAGCGUCCGCCCUGUCUGAACACAUCAGCCCUGUGGUGGUUAUCCCAGCCGAGGCCUCAUCCCCUGACAACGAGCCAGUCUUGGAGAAGGAUGACCUCAUGGACAUGGAUGCCUCCCAGCAGAAUUUAUUCGACCACAAGUUUGAUGACAUCUUUGGCAGCUCAUUCAGCAGUGACCCCUUCAAUUUCAACAGUCAGAAUGGUGUGAGCAAGGAUGACAAGGAUCAUUUAAUUGAUCAGCUGUACAGAGAAAUCAAUGGGCUGAAAGUGCAGCUGGAAAACUUGAAGACUGAGAGCCAGCGGGCCACGCUGCAGCUGAAGGGCCGGGUCAGCGAGCUGGAAGCCGAGCUGGCCGAGCAGCAGCACCUGAGGCAGCAGGCAGCCGACGACAGUGAGUUCCUCCGGGCUGAGCUGGACGAGCUCAAGAAGAAGCGAGAAGACACAGAGAAGGCCCAGCGGAGCCUGACGGAGAUAGAAAGGAAAGCCCAGGCCAAUGAGCAGCGGUACAGCAAGCUGAAGGGGAAGUACAGUGAGCUGGUGCAGAGCCACGCCGACCUGCUGCGGAAGAACGCAGAGGUGACCAAACAGGUGUCUGUGGCCAGACAAGCACAGGUGGAUUUGGAACAAGAGAAAAAAGAGCUAGAGGAUUCCUUCCAGCGUAUAAGUGACCAAGCCCAGAGGAGGACUCAAGAACAGACGGAAGUCCUAGACAGCUUGAAGCAAGAACUUGCCACAAGCAAACGGGAGCUCCAGACUGUCCAGGGCAGCCUAGAAGUUUCUGCCCAGUCAGAAGCAAAAUGGGCAACCCAGAUGUCUGAGAUGGAGAAGGAGCGGGCUGGGUUGGUGCAAGCCAUGGCUUGUCGUGAGGAGGAAUUAGCUGCCCUUCGGGAACAGCUGAAAGUCAUCCAGCUCAAACUGGGCAGGACGCAGGAAUCUGUGUACCAGCUCGCGAAGGACCAACGAAAAAUGCUUCUGAUGAAGUCAAGGAAGGCUGCAGAGCAGGUGGUCCAGGAGGCCUUGAGGCAGCUUGAGGAACCCCCUCUCAUCAGCUGCACUGGAUCUGCAGAUCACCUCCUCGCCAAGGUCAGGUCUGUUUCCGGCUGCAUUGAGCAACUGGAAGAGAAAUGGAGCCUGUAUUGUGCCUCCCCGGAUGAUAUCAGUGGGCUUCUCCACUCGGUGACCCUCCUUGCCCACUUGACCAGUGACACCAUUAUUCACGGCAGCACCACCUGCCUUAGAUCCCCACCAGAGCCUGCCGACUCACUGGCCGAGGCCUGCAAGCAGUGUGGCAAGGAGACCCUCAUCUAUCUGGCUGCCCUGGAGGAAGAGGGAGCCCCAGAGAGUGCCAACAGCACAGCCAUGAGGAGCUGCCUCAGCAAGAUCACGGCCAUUGGCGAGGAGCUCCUGCCCAGAGGCCUGGACAUCAAACAGGAGGAGCUGGGGGACCUGGUAGACAAGGAGAUGGCAGCCACUUCAGCUGCCAUUGAGGCUGCUACCGCCAGGAUAGAGGAGAUGCUCAGCAAAUCCCGAGCUGGAGACACGGGAGUCAAAUUGGAGGUGAACGAGAGGAUCCUUGGUUCCUGCACCAGCCUGAUGCAAGCUAUUCAGGUCCUGAUUGUGGCCUCUAAGGACCUCCAGCGAGAGAUCGUGGAGAGUGGCCGGGGUACAGCAUCUCCUAAAGAGUUCUAUGCCAAGAAUUCACGAUGGACAGAAGGACUCAUCUCAGCCUCCAAAGCAGUGGGCUGGGGGGCCACUGUCAUGGUGGAUGCGGCCGAUAUGGCGGUACAAGGCAGGGGGAAGUUUGAGGAGCUCAUGGUGUGUUCCCACGAAAUCGCUGCUAGCACAGCCCAGCUUGUGGCUGCUUCCAAGGUGAAAGCUGAUAAGGACAGCCCGAACCUGGCCCGGCUGCAGCAGGCCUCUCGGGGGGUGAGCCAGGCCACUGCCGCUGUCGUGGCCUCAACCAUUUCCGGCAAGUCACAGAUCGAGGAGACAGACAAUAUGGACUUCUCCAGCAUGACACUGAUGCAGAUCAAACGCCAGGAGAUGGAUUCCCAGGUCAGGGUGCUGGAGCUGGAAAACGAGUUGCAGAAGGAGCGGCAGAAACUGGGAGAGCUUCGGAAAAAGCACUACGAGCUGGCCGGGGUUGCCGAGGGCUGGGAAGAAGGAACAGAAGCAUCUCCACCUACACUGCAAGAAGCGGUAACCGAGAAAGAAUAGAGGCACGGCAACAGCCCACGCAGCAGUGUAAAGCCUUGUCCAUCCGUGUGUUCUUCUCAGUUUCAUCAUUUGCACAAACUUGUGAGCAUCAGAGGGCUUGUGGACUCCAAACCAGGCCACCACCCUGAAUCUGCCCACAGUCAGAAAGAAGUAGGAGUGUCCUGGCUCAGAAUACCAAGGCAAUGCCCCCUCUUCUGGAAGUUCCAUGGAUUCCCACUGCUUCUCACAGUGGUCGGUUGGAUUUUUUGGCUUUUCUUCUUUUCCAAGUUGCACUCAUCUAGCCAACUCUCCCACAGGGAGCACCCCUGGGGCCCUGAGCUCUUGGGAGCCCCUAACUGCAGCAGUCAGCAGCAGUGGUGCUGCUCAGGCGUCACCUUGGUGCUCCACAUCAGCCUCCGUGCCAAGCGUCCUGCUGAACGAGUGAGGGGCAGUGAGGCCACUGCCCGGGGUGGGGCAGGGCUGCCAGGCCACACUCUCCAAGGCAGAAGCAGAGUGAGUGCCUUUCCCUCCUAAAGCUGGAACCCAGCCGAAAGCCUCUGCCCACCUUCACGAGCGACAGCUACAGAGGCGGGGGAUUGAGGGGUGCCCAAGGUCUUCAGGAGACACGUUUCUCGGGAACUCGUUGUGACUAGCCUGAAAAACCUUGUCACGUGCUUGAGUGUGCUGGUGAGAGGAGCCAUCCUUCUCCCCACCGCCGGGGUGGGUUUUCCCUGCCACCUCACAUUGGCCACUUCCUUUCAGACCCAGGCAGGGCCCCAAGCGCAAUCAUGUGAGAGGUUUCUGAUUCCUUUCUCCAAAUGUCUGCCUCAGCAUCCUCUUGAAUCUGAAGAACAUAGUUCCCAGGUCAGGCAGACUUGCUCCCAGCAGGAGAAAACCCUGUGCUUAUUUGGCACCUUUAAUAUUUAUUGCUAACCUCCGCUGAGCAGCAGCAGCCUACAGAAACACGCUUGGAGCGGUCAGAUUUCAGGUGUGAGUGUGGUAAGGUUCCUGUGGCUGCCAUGGCAUGACCGUGUCCGAGAAUCAGAGACAAGACCAAGAUGUCCCGUCUGCCCUUGGCAUGGAUCCCUGAGCAGGCAGGUUCCCUGGAGCAUCUGGGUCAGGGAGAAAGGAGGACGCACGUCCCUGGCCCUCACUGCCCUGGGGUGGGAUGAGGAUGGGGCAUGUCAACAGCCUCCUGGAGAUAGGCAGCCCGGCCAGACAGUGCUGCUCUGCCUCCCACUGGCCCCAGCAUUUAAGUGACCUUCCGAUCUCAGACAAACAGCGUCUUCCUUCCUCUCUGUAGCAACUGACAGGUAGUAGCCAACACUCACCUCCCAGGACCUGUCGCAAAUAUUGCCAAGUGUUGAUACAGGGCAGGUCGUGAGACUCGUGUUUGAUCACUGUGACUCACUCACUCCCCUCCUUCCUAAACACCCCCCAACUCCCUCUCUGUUUUCUAAGUAGGCUCUCAAAAAAACAGUCUCCCAUUAGCUCAGAUGACGGAGACUCAGAUGUGUGAUCUCCCUGCUGGUCUUACGAGAGGUCAGCACUGGGAAUAGAGUGCUCCUAUGUUAAUACCGCCUUGUACUCUGCAUUGUUAUAUCUAAGGCAUGGUGUGUGGCAGCCUGGCCCAGUUGUGCCAGUUAAGCCCAUUGGCAUGUUCUCAGUGUGAGUGAACAUUUCCAGAGCUGGCCUUUCCUCACUUCCAGGGUCUCAGCCCUUCAAACUGUCUGGCUCCAAAUUACCAAUGUGGUGGAGGGAGUAUAGUAUAUUGGGCCACAUUAGGAUUCUCUGAAUAAUACUCCCUCUAAAAUGAAGCCAUGGUAAUUUUUAAAACCAUUGUGGACUUAGCCUGAGUAAUAAAGCAGUUAAGGAAGCACUUAAGUGGGGAGCAUGGGGUAAUUCAGCCUUAUAUGAGGAAAUACCUGUCAGCUGUUGUGCAUUACUUUCAUCAUUGCUCAGAGUGGAAGCUUGUCUAUCCUCAAGCCAAAGUAAAAAAUGAGUGUGGUACUUGGUAUGGAAAUACCUUGAUUGAAACAGGAAUCCCAUCCUAAGGCUAGAAAUGAACCUCACAGCCUUAAAAGCUGCUAAGCUUCCACCUGUUUGUACCUAGGAAGUGCUCACAUUAAAUUUGUCACUGAGCAUCAACAGUGACUGAAGUCUCAGGGUCAGUGUAAACAGGUCACAGUAAAGCAGGACAACAAUGGCAUAGGAUUGACGAGAGGUUAAACUACUCACACCGGUUAUUAAAUUUUGUAGUACAAAGUGCUAAUACCUCUAGAAUAAGAAUAGGUGUGUACAUAGUAAGGAAAAAAAUAGAACAAAGGACUUAACUUUGAGGGGUUAUUUUAUAUCUGAGCAAGGAUCUUAAGGUAGACUGCAGUUCGUGCUGCUUGCUGAUCCUGCUGUGCACAACCGGUCCCUAGGAUCCUGUGUGAAUACGAGCCCCUAACCCAGCGGCUGGAGGAACCAGACCUUUUUCAGAGCAUCCUUUCUGGAAGUGUUUGAGCUGCCACGUCAGACACCAUGAUUCACACCGGGUACCAGGGGUCACCAUUGCAUGUCACUCAGGUGGGCUUGCCUCAGCUUCUCACCGAGGAAGAGCUGAGCUGGCUCCAAGCUUGCAGCUGGAAAGUGCUCACUUCUUGGCCAGCUCCUGAAUCUAGAGGCAUGUAUCUACUGGUUCUGCUUACCCUGGUCUUUAGUACCUGGUCAAGUUCUUGCUAUCUUCCACCACCUUUCAAGUCUCUGGAGGUCCUGCCUGCCAAUGAAAGCCUUAUUCGAUCCUGGCAUUGGCCUUCCAACCAGACUGGCUUUGCCCUCUCUGCAUCCUCAGGCCUCCAGAGACUGCACAUCUGUCGCACAGACCACCACCACCACGGGCUGGACACAGCAAAUGGGCCGGCUGUCUGCUGCUCCAGCCCUUCGUCUCCCAGGUCCAUACCAAGUGCAGGGUCAGCAGCCCACCGUGAUGCACUGCCUCCCACCACAGCAGCCAAAGCACCUUGAAAUAAUCGGAUAGGUGCUGUUGGGUCCAAUUCUGAGAGUAGAUACCUGCCAGACAUGUCUUUCAGGCAACCCUCAACUACCUCAGGUUUGAAGGCCCUAAAUUAAGCUGACAUUAGUACUCAUAGGGACAAACCAGAGGGGGUUCCAAUAUACUUGGUGAUAACACAGUUGUCUCAAACUUACAACAAACUCUCACAUUUAGGUUUGCAGGGAUGGGGUUGGAUUUGUUUUUCUUCUAUUUUUAACUUUUUCCCCGAUGUUCCAUUAGAAUAGGUCCUGUAAAUGACUUUCAUUUUCCAGAGUGCCUACCUUCCCAGGGUAGGUAGCCACUAGCUUUUGUUUCCUUCCAACAAUACUUUUAUUAAGGUAACCUUUCUUUGUAUAAUACAUUGCAUCUGUGUUUUCAAUUUUUCAAAUAAAUAUUUCAGCCUGGCAA